rnacentral:tRNA from 1 species
GGAGGGAUCGCAUAGUUGGUCUAGUGCGGCCGCCUGCUAAGCGGUUACGGGGGUAAUACUCCGUCCCGGGUUCGAAUCCCGGUCCCUCCGCCA